UACACCAAAAAUGAAACAAAAAUAUAUACAAUAUAUAUCUUCUGUUGAGGUGGCUACAUCUUCAAAACAUCACACAUUCCUUUUCUUUCCUAUUGUCCACCAGAUGCAUGUAGGAAUAAUUCUCCACCAUCUCUUCUGCCUUACAAAAUUGUCUGGAUCAUUCCAGCAUGCUAGCAACACAGCAGUUUUCUUAAUUAUCCAUUUGAGCCUUUCCAUACUCAGUAAGAGCUGUACAGAUUACAGGUAACUUUGCAAUGGAUAAGUAGGUGGCUACUUGUUCUAUUCAUUAUCCAUCUGAACCCUUUCAUACUUGGUAAGAGCUGCCACAGAGUACUAGUAACUUUGCAAUGGAUAAAUAGUUGGCUAUUUGUUUCAUUCAUUAUCCAUUAGAGCCCUUUCAUACAAGACUAAAGAGCUGCCUCAGAGUACUGGUAACUUUGCGAUGGAUAAAUAAUAGAUGGCUCUUUAUUUCAUUUUCUCUCCACAUAGAAGGCAUUUAGAACACAUAGAAAUAUUGUGCAAAUGACACUUUGAGCAAUGAAGGGGUAGCACNNNNN
rnacentral:lncRNA from 1 species